rnacentral:rRNA from 1 species
GACGAACGCUGGCGGCGUGCCUAAUACAUGCAAGUAGAACGCUGAAGCGAGGAGCUUGCUCUUCUUGGAUGAGUUGCGAACGGGUGAGUAACGCGUAGGUAACCUGCCUUGUAGCGGGGGAUAACUAUUGGAAACGAUAGCUAAUACCGCAUAACAAUGGAUGACACAUGUCAUUUAUUUGAAAGGGGCAAUUGCUCCACUACAAGAUGGACCUGCGUUGUAUUAGCUAGUAGGUGAGGUAACGGCUCACCUAGGCGACGAUACAUAGCCGACCUGAGAGGGUGAACGGCCACACUGGGACUGAGACACGGCCCAGACUCCUACGGGAGGCAGCAGUAGGGAAUCUUCGGCAAUGGGGGCAACCCUGACCGAGCAACGCCGCGUGAGUGAAGAAGGUUUUCGGAUCGUAAAGCUCUGUUGUAAGUCAAGAACGAGUGUGAGAGUGGAAAGUUCACACUGUGACGGUAGCUUACCAGAAAGGGACGGCUAACUACGUG